UGGGGAAUAUUGGACAAUGGAGGGAACUCUGAUCCAGCAAUUCUGUGUGUGUGAAGAAGGUUUUAGGACUGUAAAACACUUUUAGUAGGGAAGAAAAAAAUGACGGUACCUACAGAAGAAGCAACGGCUAAAUACGUGCCAGCAGCCGCGGUAAUACGUAUGUUGCGAGCGUUAUCCGGAAUUAUUGGGCUUAAAGGGCAUCUAGGCGGUAAGACAAGUUGAAGGUGAAAACCUGUGGCUCAACCAUAGGCUUGCCUACAAAACUGUUGAACUAGAGUACUGGAAAGGUGGGUGGAACUACACGAGUAGAGGUGAAAUUCGUAGAUAUGUGUAGGAAUGCCGAUGAUGAAGAAAACUCACUGGACAGAAACUGACGCUGAAGUGCGAAAGCUAGGGGAGCAAACAGG
rnacentral:rRNA from 1 species